AUUGAACGCUGGCGGCAUGCUUUACACAUGCAAGUCGAACGGUAACAGGUUAAGCCGACGAGUGGCGAACGGGUGAGUAAUGCAUCGGAACGUGCCCGGUCGGGGGGGAUAACGCAGCGAAAGCUGCGCUAAUACCGCAUACGAUCUGAGGAUGAAAGCGGGGGACAGUAAGGCCUCGCGCGAUCGGAGCGGCCGAUGUCAGAUUAGGUAGUUGGUGGGGUAAAGGCUCACCAAGCCAACGAUCUGUAGCUGGCCUGAGAGGACGACCAGCCACACUGGGACUGAGACACGGCCCAGACUCCUACGGGAGGCAGCAGUGGGGAAUUUUGGACAAUGGGCGAAAGCCUGAUCCAGCAAUGCCGCGUGCAGGAAGAAGGCCUUCGGGUUGUAAACUGCCUUUGUACGGAGCGAAAAGGUCUCCUCUAAUACAGGGGGCUCAUGACGGUACCGUAAGAAUAAGCACCGGCUAACUACGUGCCAGCCGCCGCCGUAA
rnacentral:rRNA from 1 species